GCUAAAGCGAGAGCCAUAAUAGAAGCCAAAAGCAUUGGAGCUGUGACGUCUGAGCAGGUUCCGCCUCCACUCUCCACCGUGCUCACACACAGAGCAGAGUCACGGGUCUGGUCCCAUUUCGCCUGCAGCCAAACAUGUCCUGAACAAGACUCCGCUGGUCGCCAGCGCUGACAACCGGAGACGUACCCCGAACAGAGUGACGUAGUUGCUGAUGAGGUCGCGGACGACGCCGAUUUCUUGUGGGGUUUGUCCGCUGGUCUGGAACAAGCAGGAGGAGAAGACGGAGGCUAGUUUUUCACUGGGCAUGUGGUUGACGUGGGAACACUGCUGGAUCCUGAAUCACGGGGAGAGACGUGUUCGGAAUGAACAACACAGAAAUGCCAGCGCGUCGCGUCGUCCGCUGCCUCAAUCUCACAUUCACACGCAAUAAACGAAGCGCUAGACCUCAGUCUGCAUCCAGUCAAGGCCUGAAUGUACAAACAAUCAGUCGUUGAGCUAAUGCAGCUAAAUCUCUGAGGAAAGGCUGUGAAACAUAAGCUGCAGCCAAUGAGACGUCAUCUUAUUCCCACACCCUGUCUCUAUUUCUUACCUCCUGUAACUCAUUACUAGUCCUCAUUUAUGGCGUUAGCCGGCUGCCUUCACCAUGAAAAGCCAGAAAAAGCUGCCAUUUGUUUCAUGGACUAUGAACAAGUAUCUGUUUUCUAACUGAGCUUUUAAAGAUGAGUCAAUCAGGUUGUCUUGCUUGGAAAAGGCCAUGGAAUGGUGCAAAGAGCACAGAAUUGAUUCAUCACUUUCAACUCAAAAGGCACAACUGUGUGAGAAAGCAAGCUUUUCUUUUCUGGAUGUAACUUGUAACAGCUCCAUCCACUAAAGUCUGGUGUCGGUGAAUCUGGAAAAUGAUCAGAUUAAGAACAACAAUAAUAAUAUAAUAAUAACAAAAGCUUAUUGUUAAGAGAAAACGAGAAGCUGCAUUACGAUAUCUUCUGGUUCACAGUGAGUGUCCAGCUACUGUAAUAAUGGAUGAGCUGAGGUUUAGUUUGAGCACAGGACACGAAAACGUUUAGAAUUAUGCCAUAAAUCAAUGUUAAAGUACAGGGUGAGAAGCUGGUUGUGUUGUUUAUUUGUGGAAAGCGUGAACGUCAUUGUUUUGUCAGCUUUUUCAUCUCAUUUUUUUAAUUUAAACACAGUUUGUGCUAUAAAUGUCCCCUUCAGGGUGGCGGAAGUCUAACGUGACAGAGUCGCGGCAGCAGCUGUGAGCGCGUGCGACGCGGCCGCUCCGCGAGCGCGUACCUGUACAGAUGCCGCAGCAGCGCGUCGAGCGUUGAUCUGUUUAUCCUGGGCACGUUCUGUAUGAAGGUGGAGUACAUCUUUACUCGCUGCCGCUCGUCCUUCUCAUCUAAAGAACCGCACAGACAAGAGCGGCUUCAAACGCUGCCAAAUGUGACAAACUAUAAACACAAACGGGCGUCAGACGGCGCUUUUUUUUUUGUUUUUUUUUUGUUAUUUGUCGAGCAGAUUCGAAGCGGGACGCCUCCGCUACACACCCAGAACCGACACCCAGUACGGAUACAGCUCCUUGGUGAGGAGCGCGUCCUCCGCCUGCGACAGGAAGCUCCUCAGGGUGCACGCGACGUCCUCCAGCCGGUGCUCCUUCUCGCGCAGCUUCACGUCGCGGGCGCUGUGGGCGAAGUCCUGCAGGAGCUGGGCCACGCGCCCGGGGUUCCCCGGCUUCUGGUAGACCCCGUCCUGACACAGGCCUGGAUGCACAGAGCGGGACACGGACACGGGGGAGGAGGGAAGUAACUCAGUGGUCAUGAAGUCGCCUGUGUGUGCGACGAAAUGCAAUUAUGGGGCGACAACCAACCUCGUGGCCGCGGUGAAUUAUGGAAAACAGCAGCGUUACAUAAGCACAUUUGAAUCUGAAUUGGUGGAAUAGAACUAUUGGUGCACGAUGUAUUAACCUCCUGUCCCACUUCACAGUCAGUAGCGCUGCGCGGGUCCCCUUUUCCGCAUUUAUCGUGCAUUUUCCAGGCGACAAUUUUUCUUGUGUGUGUUUAUAUGUGGACGGGACGCAAAUCCCAGCAAUAGACCCAUGCAGGUUUGCAGGGACUCACCGUACUGGGUGACAAACGCGAUGCAACUGUCGACUAUGAUGGGGACGCCGCUCCUCGUCAGCUGCUGGUCGCCGAGGGCCUUGCCGCGCGUGCCGGCGGCCAGCGUGAUGGCCGCGUGCCACAGCGUGAAGUCCGCCUUGUUGAAGCCGUGGACGUAAACCGUUCUAUUAGAGAGACAUCAGCGCUGUGUUAAUCGUGGUGCGAUACCCAUCAACAGUAUGGUGGUGGUUUGAAUUGCUAAGCCGACGACCUGACGCUGUGCACGCGCUCGCAAAAAAGCUGAGCCGCUAAAUAAACAUGAUCAAAAGUAGCCCAAACAAGCGCUCGCGCGGAGCGGGAGGCGCGUGGUUUGAUCAAAAAAAAAAAAAAAAACACACGGCAAUUAACAAAGUAAGCGCAAAGUGCGGCUGCACGAGCCCGAACCUGCAGACUCGCGCGAGGCCGCCGUGCGUCACGUCUUCCCCUCCUAACCUCUGCUCUCCAGCGAGGCGGGCUGUAAUUACCUCGGAUGCGUACAGUAGCUGGAGAGCACGAGACAAAGGCGCAAUCAAAGCGGCAGCAGCCCGGUUGCAUAAUGCAUAGAGGCGCUGCGCCACAAACACGCUCCCAAUUAAGCGCAUCUUUUUUUUUUUUUUUUUUUUUUUGCGUGACUUACCUUCCGCCCUCCACCAUCAGCAGCACUUGCAUCUUGUCCUCGCCCUCCGUGUGCGUGGAGACAGCUGUGGGGGGGGGGGGGGGAGAAGGGCAGCGGGUUGUAAAUGCAGCGUACUGUGUGAAAGAAGACACGCGCAGCAAUGCGACGGGAACAAUUUGGCGUUGACAUUUGGAUCCGCUCAAUCUCCGUCCGCCGUCGACGCCGUCACCGCCGCCGCUAAAAGACGUGCGGCGGAGGGGACGGAAAGAGCAGAACAUGGAGGAAAUGCCAACGCGUCCCAAUGGAGCUAAUAGCUUUUUCUUGUAUGGAGAACACAAAUUCAGUUUCUGUGUCGAGGAAACACUGAAGGUGGUUUCAGCAACAGAGGGAAGUGGAGCACGCGGCGUCACACGCUCACACUGAGGCCACUGUUUAAAGCACUGUAAUGAGGAGGACGCGAGGGGCUUCACGCGUCCUUUACCUUCUGAAGAUCUAAAUAACCUCGGCCAUAAUCUCCUCCGUGGGUUCAAACAACUCACAUCAUGACAGCCAUCUUCUCACAACUGUACAACAUCUGGCUCUCUGGUCAGACAUAAAUAAAAAGUAAAAUCCAACCGAACUGUGAAUUGCCUUUAAUUUGACCUUUGGGUCACGUGAAAUAGUCGAGGCCGAAAUGUGUCAUUUUACCAUCACGACACAGAAUAAACAACCCUUUCAAU